ensembl:lncRNA
AUUCAAUGAUAUGAAUGGCUCAGAAAGUUACAUGGAUAAGACAACACAAAAAUAUUAAACGCACAUUGAACUUCAUCUAUUUUAUUUAAUGGAAAUAAUGACACAACAAUUUACUAAACGAAAAUGAGUAAUAAUGAAUUAUUUGCUCAUAGUGAACAGAAAGUUGUAUUUUACAUGAAUGUCUUGACUACAAUAUAUCACUAAAAUGUGGUUUGAAGUUAAAACUUUUAAGUUUACAAGAGAUGUGAAGACAGGUUGAUCUGAUUUAGUAAGAAAAUAAUACAAUUCAUCUGAUCAAUAAUAUGCUUCCAUUCAGCUCUAGCAAAGUGAGGAAGAUGAACAGGAAUAAUGAAAAUGAACGACAGCGCGAUUUAAAAGCUUGACACAUGUCUGUCUUACCUUUGCAAUUAGCCCGAGCAGCUUGAUUCGGAAAAAACACGGAUGUUAUAAACCGCCUGCUACCUAUCUAUUGAGUCCGUUUAUGGCGUCCCUGAGCAGUUAAACUCACCCUAAGUAGAAAUGUGUGAGUGACGUAACCUUGACAGCACCUAUCUCCAAUCAUUUAAGUUGGAGCAGGUAUGCCUGUCCCAUAAAUUCUCAACAUACCUGCCCUUGCCUGACUGCCCCUGUUAAAAGUUAGGUUAAACCUGCAACACGCAAAAAGACAUGGCUGUAUAUUUCAGAUGGCAGUAGGCAUGACAUUGCUCUGAACAGGAAGUUUAGAUAGACAAUUGCCAUGAAACACACUGCUAGUAUUGUGAUAAAAGCUUUUCUACUGUGCUUACAAAGAUCACUUCAAGUGCAUGAUCGCUCAAAGCCCUUCAUGUUUAUUAUAUAUAUAUAUAUAAAAAUCUUUAGAUCAAAUUAAAAUCUUGCUCUUACAUUUUAUUAUGUAUAAGACUGAAAGAAGCAUAUAAUGCAGAUACUCAUCUGCAUCGAAAGUUCCCCUUCUGAGCCUGGCUAGCAACAUAGCGUGGGUAAAAUGUGGGCUUGUGACUACCCCAAGAGAACGUACGUAAAAGUGCUACAAAUAAACUCCCAUUCAGUCUAUUUACUUACACUAGGUAGACACAAUUCUUGUUCCUAGAUCCAGUUUCUGCCGUGAUAUAUUUGUUGUUAUGGUAUCAGGUCAUAUAUUGGCUUUUUGUAAUACAACUCCCAAGUACAUUAUUCAUUUGCCGGCUCAUUUAUAAACAUAUUCUUGCUCACCUACGCUAAAAAUGCCACUGUAUGUAUCCUCAUGCAGCUCCAAGUUUGAGCUUGCCGUGUAGGAAUGCAGCAGUGGUGCUGUUGAAACAUGUUCAACUGAUAUAAGCGCCGUGUUGUCAUCCAGUACAUAGGAAUGCACACUCUUGAGAGUAUUUAAUUUAGAUCUCUGGGCAAAACAUAUUACUCAUCCACACGCAUUUCUAUAGAAGAAAAAAAAUCUUGUUUGGGGAAGGUAAAAGAGGAAGCAACAGCAGGAAGCAGAGCACUAAAAUGAGAGUGAACAAUCUUCACAGCUCAAGGAUAAACUUGCAUGUGGAGAGGAGAAACAAAUCCCUGUGUUCCAUGCCCAGUCUUUGCUGUGCUGUUAUCCAUACAAAGACAGGCAUAAAAGAUCAACAAAAGACUUCCAUUAAAAAAUAUAGCAAGUACCCUUGAAGAACCAACAGCAAUGCUUUAUGGGAAAUGUUUCUGACCAAUCAAAAUAGUCCUCUUAGCUCCGAGCUAAGCUUCAAUGCUCAUUAGUGCCAGGAAGGUGGUGGGGGUGGUGGUGGUGGUGGUGGAGCUCCUGAUGAAGACAGUGGAGGUGGUGGAGGAGGAGGAGCCCCUGAUGAAGGCAUCGGAGGAGGUGGGGGUGGAGGUGCCCCUGAUGGAGACAUCAGAGGGGGUGGGGGUGGAGGAGAUCCUGAGGAAAGCAUUGAAGGUGGGGGGGGGAAGGUUCCCGUUCGAUAGACCGCCGGUUGGAGGAGGUGGAGGGAAGCCCCCGGGAGAGGUCAUGGAGGGUGGUGGUGGUGGUGGAGCAGGAAAACCAGCCUGGGUUGAGUCUGGAGGUGAGUCUGAAUAGCCAGGUUCAGACGGAGGAGGAGGAGGUAGGCUGUCCCCGCCAAAGUUGGAUCCAGAAGAGAAGGAGGGAACGGACGGAGUGGCCACGGCGAUGCCAAGGCUGGACCUGGUUUGGUGAGGAGGGGAAAAGGAGCGUUGGUCAUGAGGUGGUAGCAAAUUCAGUGAGCAGGCUGUUUAAGGUCGGUCACAUCCCCAG